rnacentral:rRNA from 1 species
UACAGAGGUCUCAAGCGUUGUUCGGAUUCAUUGGGCGUAAAGGGUGCGUAGGCGGCGCGGUAAGUCGGGUGUGAAAUCUCGGAGCUUAACUCCGAAACUGCAUUCGAUACUGCCGUGCUUGAGGACCGGAGAGGAGACUGGAAUUUACGGUGUAGCGGUGAAAUGCGUAGAUAUCGUAAGGAAGACCAGUGGCGAAGGCGGGUCUCUGGACAGUUCCUGACGCUGAGGCACGAAGGUCAGGGGAGCAAAACGGGG